rnacentral:rRNA from 1 species
UACGGGAGGCAGCAGUAGGGAAUAUUGGGCAAUGGGCGAGAGCCUGACCCAGCCAUGCCGCGUGCCGGAUGAAGGCCUUCUGGGUUGUAAACGGCUUUUCUCAGGGAAGAAAAAGACCAUGCGUGGUACACUGACGGUACCUGAGGAAUAAGCACCGGCUAACUCCGUGCCAGCAGCCGCGGUAAUACGGAGGGUGCAAGCGUUGUCCGGAUUUAUUGGGUUUAAAGGGUGCGUAGGCGGCCCGUUAAGUCCGGGGUGAAAGCCCACAGCUCAACUGUGGAACUGCCCUGGAUACUGGCGGGCUUGAGUCCAGACGAGGUUGGCGGAAUGGAUGGUGUAGCGGUGAAAUGCAUAGAUACCAUCCAGAACCCCGAUUGCGUAGGCAGCUGACUAGGCUGGUACUGACGCUGAGGCACGAAAGCGUGGGGAGCGAACAGGAUUAGAUACCCUGGUAGUCCACGCCGUAAACGAUGGAUACUCGCUGGUGGCGAUAGACAGUCACUGGCUCAGCGAAAGCGGUAAGUUCC